GGGGGGGGGGCGGAGCUCGGUCACAGGUGCAAAGCAUUCUGAUUGGCUGGGAUGAGGCGUUGGUGCGUGUGCUGUCACGUGGAAGGCUCGGCGCAAUUCCUGUACACUGUUGCGUAGUAUGUGUUAAAGUAGGUAGAGAAAAAGAGGCCUGAGAGAGAGUGACAAAGCAUCCGAAGCGGGCUCGGCACCGACAGUAGAGAGCGAGAUUCGGGGCUGGAACUCACGAAGCCGCCAAGAUCACAACCUGAGCGGAAGUCCGGUAGUUCAACCGACUGAGCCACCCAGGCGACCCGUCGUAUGUGUUUUUAAGUCAAGAAUAGGAGUUGAAAACUUAUUAAAUGCUUUUUGUGGAUCAUUUCAGAUGA